rnacentral:rRNA from 1 species
GCCGGAAUUGCUAGUAAUGGCAGGUCAGCAUACUGCCGUGAAUACGUUCCCGGGCCUUGUACACACCGCCCGUCACACCAUGAGAGUUGGGAAUACCCGAAGCCUGUGAGCUAACUUUUAGAGGCAGCAGUCGAAGGUAGAAUCAAUGAUUGGGGUGGAAGUCGUAACAAGGUACC